rnacentral:rRNA from 1 species
UUUGUCGCGUUGUUCGUGAAAUCUCACGGCUUAACUGUGAGCGUGCGGGCGAUACGGGCAGACUUGAGUACUGCAGGGGAGACUGGAAUUCCUGGUGUAGCGGUGGAAUGCGCAGAUAUCAGGAGGAACACCGGUGGCGAAGGCGGGUCUCUGGGCAGUAACUGACGCUGAGGAGCGAAAGCGUGGGGAGCGAACAGGAUUAGAUACCCUGGUAGUCCACGCCGUAAACGGUGGGUACUAGGUGUGGGUUUCCUUCCUUGGGAUCCGUGCCGUAGCUAACGCAUUAAGUACCCCGCCUGGGGAGUACGGCCGCAAGGCUAAAACUCAAAGAAAUUGACGGGGGCCCGCACAAGCGGCGGAGCAUGUGGAUUAAUUCGAUGCAACGCGAAGAACCUUACCUGGGUUUGACAUGCACAGGACGCCGGCAGAGAUGUCGGUUCCCUUGUGGCCUGUGUGCAGGUGGUGCAUGGCUGUCGUCAGCUCGUGUCGUGAGAUGUUGGGUUAAGUCCCGCAACGAGCGCAACCCUUGUCUCAUGUUGCCAGCGGGUAAUGCCGGGGACUCGUGAGAGACUGCCGGGGUCAACUCGGAGGAAGGUGGGGAUGACGUCAAGUCAUCAUGCCCCUUAUGUCCAGGGCUUCACACAUGCUACAAUGGCCGGUACAAAGGGCUGCGAUGCCACGAGGUUAAGCGAAUCCUUUUAAAGCCGGUCUCAGUUCGGAUCGGGGUCUGCAACUCGACCCCGUGAAGUCGGAG